AGCUCCAAUAGCGUAUAUUAAAGUUGUUGCGGUUAAAAAGCUCGUAGUUGGAUCUCGGUGCCGGACCGGCGGUCCGCCUCGUGCGGUCUCACUGCCGGCCCCGGAGCCAUCCCGCCGGCCGUCCCUCGGUGCUCUUCGCUGAGUGUCUUGGGUGACCGGAACGUUUACUUUGAACAAAUUAGAGUGCUCCAAGCAGGCGCAUCCCGCCCGCAUAGCCCAGCAUGGAAUAAUGGAAUAGGACCUCGGUUCUAUUU
rnacentral:rRNA from 1 species